rnacentral:tRNA from 2 species
UCCCUCGUGGCGCAAUUGGCUAGCGCGUUCGACUGUUAGCAUCUCAUCUUCCAUCGAGAGGUUGGUGGUUCGAGCCCACCCGAGGGAG